AUAAAUAAAUUAUUUUUUAAAUGGAAAAUAAAAACUUUUCCAAAAAAAAUCGCUCUGCAUCCCCCCCUGUUUUCCAUUUUUCAACACAUCCAGAAGUAUAUAAAAUUCACGAACAGGAGUCAUAAAUGUCAUUAUCAUUUAACGUUGCAUAUUCCCAUCUAGUUGGACUACACGGAAUUAAUUGCAAAAAGGGACAACGAGACGAUUUAUUGUGCAAAAGGAGUUGCAAUAAAAUUAUAAAUACUUUGUGUCACAUGUGCGCUUCCUAGUUCUGCUAAACUUUUCCCCUGUCGCAUGUGCGAAGGGGGUGGAGACUUUCAACAAAAGCUUAAGCUAUUAGUUUAAUUUUGCAAUUUAUGGUUAACUUUUCAUUCAACCACCUUGUGCACCGGCAAGAAGCUCCUCCACGGGCCACACAACUUCAAUAUAAAGUUACAAUAAAUAUUAAUUGGACAAUUUGUUAAAUAUGUCGUCAAGUGAGAAAUUUCUACGCUACAUCUCUCUUGCAUUCAUUGUAACGUUUAUAACAAUUGAUGGUCUCCCGUUGUUGUUGGUGGAAGGAUUCAAGAAUACAGGGAACACACAGGAAACUUUAGAACUUCCAGAACUCUCAAGCAAACAUCAUCAAUUGAGUUCUCAGCGCUCAAAGAGGUGUAUCGUAGUUCAAAAGCAAUCCCAUUUCCCACAGAGAACCAAACCCCAUAGCACCGAUUACGACGACGAGGAAAAUGAUAGUGAUUCAUCGUUUGAAAACUAUCAAAAGGAUCAAAGACGAAUUAAACUUCCCCGAAGAAUGAGAAGGAAAUUUAAUAGCAGAAAUUUUGAUAAAAAAGACAUUGAGGACAUCUAAAAUCACC